UAGACUUCAUCUUCCAAGGGUCA
rnacentral:piRNA from 1 species